AUACUCAUCUGGCAGGGGAGAUACUGUGACCAGGCAGGUGGUUUUCCAGGGCAAGGCUCAUCCAUUACAUUUCAUAUGUGAUGAUCCCUGCAAUUUCUUCAAAUUCAAGAAUUUUGGAUGCAUUGUGGCAGUAAGGACUGUAUUCACACUCCCUUUAA